rnacentral:rRNA from 1 species
GACCGGCGCACGGGUGGAGUAACACGUAUCCCAACCUUCCGUUUACUCAGGGAUAGCCUUUCGAAAGAAAGAUUAAUACCUGAUAGUAUGGUGAGAUUGCAUGAUAGCACCAUUAAAGAUUUAUUGGUAAACGAUGGGGAUGUGUUCCAUUAGGUAGUAGGCGGGGUAACGGCCCACCUAGCCGACGAUGGAUAGGGGUUCUGAGAGGAAGGUCCCCCACAUUGGAACUGAGACACGGUCCAAACUCCUACGGGAGGCAGCAGUGAGGAAUAUUGGUCAAUGGGCGAGAGCCUGAACCAGCCAAGUAGCGUGAAGGAUGAAGGUCCUACGGAUUGUAAACUUCUUUUAUACGGGAAUAAAGUAUCCUACGUGUAGGAUUUUGUAUGUACCGUAUGAAUAAGCAUCGGC